rfam:Vanderwaltozyma polyspora partial mitochondrial genome, strain DSMZ 70294
GGAAAAUUAACUAUUGGUAAGGUAAAUUAUUUGCUACAUAAUUGAAUUUUAAUUCUUAUGAGUUCGAUUCUCAUAUUUUCCG